rnacentral:rRNA from 1 species
GAUGAACGCUGGCGGCGUGCCUAAUACAUGCAAGUCGAGCGAACGGACGAGAAGCUUUCUUCUCUGAUGUUAGCGGCGGACGGGCGAGUAACACGUGGAUAACCUACCUAUAAGACUGGGAUAACUUCGGGAAACCGGAGCUAAUACCGGAUAAUAUUUUGAACCGCAUGGUUCAAAAGUGAAAGACGGUCUUGCUGUCACUUAUAGAUGGAUCCGCGCUGCAUUAGCUAGUUGGUAAGGUAACGGCUUACCAAGGCAACGAUGCAUAGCCGACCUGAGAGGGUGAUCAGCCACACUGGAACUGAGACACGGUCCAGACUCCUACGGGAGGCAGCAGUAGGGAAUCUUCCGCAAUGGGCGAAAGCCUGACGGAGCAACGCCGCGUGAGUGAUGAAGGUCUUCGGAUCGUAAAACUCUGUUAUUAGGGAAGAACAUAUGUGUAAGUAACUGUGCACAUCUUGACGGUACCUAAUCAGAAAGCCACGGCUAACUACGUG